rnacentral:rRNA from 1 species
UACGUAGGGUGCAAGCGUUAAUCGGAAUUACUGGGCGUAAAGCGUGCGCAGGCGGUUUUGUAAGUCUGUCGUGAAAUCCCCGGGCUUAACCUGGGAAUGGCGAUGGAGACUGCAAGGCUAGAUGUUGGCAGGAGGGGGUAGAAUUCCACGUGUAGCAGUGAAAUGCGUAGAGAUGUGGAGGAAUACCGAUGGCGAAGGCAGCCCCCUGGGUCAAUACUGACGCUCAUGCACGAAAGCGUGGGGAGCAAACAGG